rnacentral:tRNA from 1 species
GCGCCAGUAGCUCAGCAGGACAGAGCACUUCCCUCCUAAGGAAGGGGUCGGGGGUUCAAGUCCCUUCUGGCGCACCA